GUCUACGGCCACGCCACCCUCAACAAGCCCGAUCCCGUCUGAUCUCAGAAGCUAAGCAGGGUCGGGCCUAGUUAGUACUUGGAUGGGAGACCGCCCAGGAAGACCAGGUGCUGUAGGCA
rnacentral:rRNA from 1 species